UCAUAUGACCUGCAGUUCAUUCCUAUAGUAUAGCUGUGACACGAGCUGCACCUCUACUGCACAUUUCUCCGUCGCUCCGAGCGAGAGGAACUGAAAAUGCAUCAGAUCGCUGUGGUACACUGAUAUUCUGUCGGAUAUUAAUUCAAACAGCAGUCGAUAUUCUCUUUGCUCGGUAUUUACGAAACAUACGUGACAUUGAUUCCGCGAGACGAUGCCUGAAGAAAAAGCGUUUCACCAGCAGGCUGUUCACAGUCCCCAUGAACAACAGAAGGGACAGCGGCAGAGUGGCCCCAUCCCAUGUCAAAAUUGUGGCAAGCCCUGCAAAGGCGAGGUGCUCCGGGUGCAGAACAAACACUUUCACAUCAAGUGCUUUGUUUGUAAAGUUUGUGGAUGUGACUUGGCUCGGGGAGGCUUUUUUGUGCGACAGGGCGAGUAUAUCUGCACUCUGGAUUAUCAGCGCCUCUAUGGCACCCGCUGCUUCAGUUGUGAAGAGUUCAUUGAAGGAGAAGUUGUGUCUGCCCUGGGCAAGACAUACCACCCUUGCUGCUUUGUCUGUGCCAUCUGCAAACAGCCGUUUCCAGCUGGGGACCGUGUGACGUUUAAUGGAAAAGAGUGCAUUUGUGAGAAAUGCACUCAGCCGGUACCAGUCAACAACACGGCACCACCACAGGCUGUACACAAUUGCUGUGGCUGUGGAAAGGAGUUUAAAAAUGAGCAAUCUUUGGUUGCGUUGGACAAGCACUGGCACCUUGGCUGCUUCAAAUGCAAAGUGUGCAACAAAGUGCUCAAUGCAGAGUAUAUCAGCAAGGAUGGCAUCCCCUAUUGUGAAGCAGAUUACCAUGCUAUGUAUGGCAUCCAGUGUGAGACCUGCAAGAAAUACAUCACCGGAAAAGUACUUGAGGCCGGCGAAAAACACUAUCAUCCCACAUGUGCCAGAUGUGCACGUUGUGACCAGAUGUUUGGGGAGGGGGAGGAGAUGUACCUGCAGGGUUCUUCCAUCUGGCAUCCUCCUUGCAGACAUGCAGCACGUAUAGAGGAAAAGAGUAAGGUGACCAGAACCUCCUCUGAGAGCAUCACCUCUGCUCCUGCAUCCAAUACAUCAGGCUCCCCUAGCAGAGUUAUCUAUGCAAAACUGGGUGAUGAACUUCUGGACUACAAGGAUCUGGCUGCUCUUCCUAAAAUCAAAGCAAUCUACAACAUUGAUAGGCCUGACAUGCUCUCAUAUUCCCCCUAUGUGAGCUACCCUGUGGAGGACAGAACUUUUGGAGAGUCACCCCUGCAACUCACUCCUACUCCAACUGAGGGAGAUGGAGAAAAGUCACCUCGCCAGUGGAGGCCCUCCAGUCCCAGCUCCAACAGCUCUUUAGGGGGUUAUGGCCGCUAUACCCCUUCCCGCUCACCACAAACCUACAGCAGACCAGAGCAAUACCUGGGUGUCAAAUAUACCACCCAUCCAGACUAUUCCAACACGUUGACUGUACCAACUUCGGGUAGGAAUAGCUCCUAUGGCAUUGCCAGAGAGUCCUCCCCACUACCUUUGUACAGCAGCAGUGGUCGAAACACUCCACAGGCAGGGAUCAGUGGUGUGGCCCUGCCUCUCAACCCUACCACCCUGGCCAUGCUCCAACAGCACAACUACAUCCCUUACUUCAGAGGUAGUGAAAGCGGGCGAAGUACCCCCAGUCUGUCCACCUACUCUGAUGGCAAAUCUCCUUCCUCUACAUAUGUUGCUGCCCCACGCCAUUUCCACAUCCCAGAGACAAAAGUCAAAGAUAAUAUCUAUAGAAAACCCCCUAUCUACAAACAGCAUGCUUCCAGAACCUCUUGGCAAGAUGGUGAUGAUGUAGACAGAAAGACCAGAACAAGUUGGAUGAACCUGAAGAGUGAGAUUGAUGGACAGUCUCCAGACAUCGACCCCAGGACCUCCACCCACAGCUUGCCCACUGAUAUGUCUCAGCCCAACUUUCCAUACAACAAGUCUGCUUCGCUGCCAGGAUAUGGGCGGAAUGGCAUAUACAAGGCGGCUGAUCUUGUUGAGGAUGAUGCAGACCAUGACUCUAGCUGGGGUGGAAUGAGAGGUGAGUGAAUAUUUAACUUACAUAUUGAAAAUUAAAAGAUGAGUUGUGUUUGUAACACCCAAGAACUCAGAUUAACAGUGGUAAUUUGCUAUAUUUCUCUUUUUUUAUAUAUAUAUAUCAACCUCUUUCCCGUUUUCCCUUCCUUUCGCAGAGUACAAGGUCUACCCUUAUGAAAUGCUAGCUGUGACUCACAAAGCCCGAGUAAAACUACCACGUGAUGUGGACCGCACCAGACUGGAGAGGCACCUGUCACCAGAGGACUUCUACAGCGUAUUUGGGAUGACCAUUGAACAGUUUGACCGUUUGGCCUUGUGGAAGAAAAAUGACCUAAAGAAGAAAGCUCGCUUGUUUUAAACCAUGCUGAAUUUUCUCUAAUGAAAGCCAAGAUAAAGAGAAAAUCUCUUCUCAUCUUUCCUGUGUGCAUGGAGAGAUGAGUAGGAGAGAAAUAUAUAUAUGCACCUCCAUUCUGCUGCAUAGCAACUGUCAUCCCAUCUCAUGCUGAGGAAGAGGGAGUGUGCCGGAACGCUUUCACAAUGCUGAGACGAUGUUUGCCACCUAACUUCAUGUGUGAAUGCCGCACUACAUGGUCUGAAUGUUACUCUGACAAUGGAGAGACUGGAGUCAGAACUGAAUUCUCCAUGGCUCUCUUCAUUUUUCUCUUUGAUUGUCUCUUUGGCCUCACUCACUCGCCUGUCUUUGUGAUUUCUGUGUUGUAUUCUCUCUCUGUGGAAAAAGCACUCAGUAUUGAUAUAAGCCACUUUCUCUUCAUUUUAUACCAUUGAUAAACAUGGACAACCAGCUCUGUCUUUAUGCUCUAUAAAUCAUACUCGUUUUCUUUUUGACUGCUGUGAAUGUUGUCCAACUUGUCCCAUCAUUCAUACUGUAUGCUCAAAGUCUUUCUCUCUUGGUCUCUCCGUCCUAGUGUCUCUCUGUCUUUUCCCUCUCCCUGUCUCUUCCUGCAUGUCCCUCUUCUUUCCUCCUAGGCAUGAUACUCAGCCACCGUUUGGACUGUAAAAUCUAUAAGUAAUAUCAGCUUUAUGGAAGCUCAUUCAUUUAUGGCUUUAGCAUAAACAGGCCAAAGACCCAGUCAGAGCAAGAAGCCAACUAUCUUGUGAUCAACAAAGCACCUUAUAGUUUAUAUGUUCAAUAAUAGUUACUGUUGCUGUGGGGCUCACAGCCGAACAAUACAUAGCCUUUGUGUUACAUUAUGUAUUGGUUUGCUUUUCAGGCCAAUGUGUCCAUUAUCAGAGAUUUAUCAUGACUUACAGUUAUUCAAUAAGACUUAAAGGGUUGUUAUUUGUCCUGAACUGAUAUCUGAUAUCUGGACUUCACAUACUCUCGCCAUACAUUGUGCAUAGUAUGUAUGGCCAUACUGUAUAUGGUCAUAUUAUUACCAUCAUCUUAUCAGAUAGAUAAGCCAGACAUUGCUUUGGUCUUAUCGUAUCAUAUAUCAUAUAUCAUAACAUAUCAUAUCGUAUCAUAUCAUAGCAAACCCUUCAGAAUUCAGAGGUCAACCAGAUACUUUAUUUACCAUUUGCCAAUAAUUGCAACAUUGAUUUUAGCAUGGAGCCAUGCCAAAGUUAACAGAUUCUGGUGCAGUUAACAACGCUAAUACAACACAACACAUAAUAAAGCUAGCAGUUCAGUGGCGCUUCAUUUAAAACCAAAUAUGAUUGCGUUUUACUUUUGAUGAUUCUUAAUAUGUGUGCAGUAUAUUCAGUAUAUUGAUAUAAAUGUCUGUUACACUGAUCAUGUCACUCUGUAGGCAUGCACUGCAUAAUGUAGGAGCAUCUUGUAACAGCUUCAUAUGGAAUUGAACUUUAGAGUGUAAUCAUGACAUUUUGUGUGAGUGAUUUGAUUUGUUGAUUUGAAAAGAGGUCUUUUAGUUUUUGAAAGACUGAAAGCAGUGUUUGCUUAUUCAGACAUAUUCCUAUGUUUCUUUUGUUCCAAGUCUGCUCUAGAUAUUUUACUCCAAUGAAAUCUAAAUUGGUAUUUUGCUAAUGCCGAUGACACAAAAUAAGGACAUGGAAAAAUGAAUGGUGUUUUUUCCCCCAUUUUAAUUACAUGAAUAUGUUACUGAAAGAUAAGAGAAACCUGGAACUGUCAGAAAAAACACAUUCAGUAAACUCAGUUUUGACUAAUGAUAACAAUGUGUAAGAGGUCUUUUGAUUUUUGUUUUUUUACUGCACAACACAAAAACAAACCAUCAGAUUUUUUUUAGUUAAUUGUUGAUUGAAAGUAGAUGUUUCUAACCAACUAUAAUUUUGCGCAUAUCUAAAUGUUUCUUUUCAUUAGGCCAGAAUGUAUGCAUUCUUCAUACAGUAAAAUUUUGCCUUCACUGGUCAUACCAAAAUCAGUUGUUCUGGGGAAUAUACAGUACAGUACAGUUAAGCUUGUCUCAAACACAUGGAUGUGUUUUGGUGUAUGCACGCAGUAAAUGUGUCUGAGUGCGUAGGAGGGAUCCUUCCCAGAUGAACCAUGUUGAGCUGCGGAGGACAAAUGUUUGAGUCUUAUUUGAACAGCUGUAAAAACAGGCAUGUGUGUGUGUGUGUGUGUGUGUGUGUGUGUGUGUGUGUGUGUGUGUGUGUGCGCGUGUGUGUGUGCGUGUGUGGUGUUAGCCUUUGAUUUAACA